rnacentral:rRNA from 1 species
GACGAACGCUGGCGGCGUGCUUAACACAUGCAAGUCGAACGGAAAGGCCCUGCUUUUGUGGGGUGCUCGAGUGGCGAACGGGUGAGUAACACGUGAGUAACCUGCCCUUGACUUUGGGAUAACUUCAGGAAACUGGGGCUAAUACCGGAUAGGAGCUCCUGCUGCAUGGUGGGGGUUGGAAAGUUUCGGCGGUUGGGGAUGGACUCGCGGCUUAUCAGCUUGUUGGUGGGGUAGUGGCUUACCAAGGCUUUGACGGGUAGCCGGCCUGAGAGGGUGACCGGACGCGUCAGGAGUGGGAAAUGGUCCAGAAGGGGCGGCGAGGCAACACAGGCGCAUCGUGGGCAAUGGGCUGAAGUUGGAUUCAGAAACCCCGCGGGCGUGAGAACAGCCGUGGGGUUGUAAACGGGUGAAGAAAGUAACGAAGAGGUAGGGGCGGGCAUGGGCAAAGAAACAAGCGCUGGCUACAUG